UUGUGUCUUCGAGUCGUUGAUUUCACACUGCCGAGAAAAGCCUCUAGAUAGAAAAUAGGUGCCCGUACCGCAAACCGACACAGGUAGUCAAGAUGAGAAUUCUAAGGUGAGCGAGCGAACUCUCGUUAAGGAACUCGGCAAAAUGACCCCGUAACUUCGGGAGAAGGGGUGCUCUUUAGGGUUAACGCCCAGAAGAGCCGCAGUGAAUAGGCCCAAGCGACUGUUUAUCAAAAACACAGGUCUCUGCUAAACCGUAAGGUGAUGUAUAGGGGCUGACGCCUGCCCGGUGCUGGAAGGUUAAGAGGAGUGGUUAGCUUCUGCGAAGCUACGAAUCGAAGCCCCAGUAAACGGCGGCCGUAACUAUAACGGUCCUAAGGUAGCGAAAUUCCUUGUCGGGUAAGUUCCGACCCGCACGAAAGGCGUAACGAUUUGGGCACUGUCUCAACGAGAGACUCGGUGAAAUCAUAGUACCUGUGAAGAUGCAGGUUACCCGCGACAGGACGGAAAGACCCCGUGGAGCUUUACUGUAGCCUGAUAUUGAAAUUCGGCACAGCUUGUACAGGAUAGGUAGGAGCCUUUGAAACGUGAGCGCUAGCUUACGUGGAGGCGCUGGUGGGAUACUACCCUAGCUGUGUUGGCUUUCUAACCCGCACCACUUAUCGUGGUGGGAGACAGUGUCAGGCGGGCAGUUUGACUGGGGCGGUCGCCUCCUAAAAGGUAACGGAGGCGCUCAAAGGUUCCCUCAGAAUGGUUGGAAAUCAUUCAUAGAGUGUAAAGGCAUAAGGGAGCUUGACUGCGAGACCUACAAGUCGAGCAGGGUCGAAAGACGGACUUAGUGAUCCGGUGGUUCCGCAUGGAAGGGCCAUCGCUCAACGGAUAAAAGCUACCCCGGGGAUAACAGGCUUAUCUCCCCCAAGAGUUCACAUCGACGGGGAGGUUUGGCACCUCGAUGUCGGCUCAUCGCAUCCUGGGGCUGUAGUCGGUCCCAAGGGUUGGGCUGUUCGCCCAUUAAAGCGGUACGCGAGCUGGGUUCAGAACGUCGUGAGACAGUUCGGUCCCUAUCCGUCGUGGGCGUAGGAAAUUUGAGAGGAGCUGUCCUUAGUACGAGAGGACCGGGAUGGACAUACCUCUGGUGUACCAGUUGUCGUGCCAACGGCAUAGCUGGGUAGCUAUGUGUGGACGGGAUAAGUGCUGAAAGCAUCUAAGCAUGAAGCCCCCCUCAAGAUGAGAUUUCCCAACUUCGGUUAU
rnacentral:rRNA from 1 species